CUCUCCCUCCGCAGCCCCCAUCUCUCCUCCCACGCGACUCCUUGCCGCCGCCCCCAUGAUUCCGAUGACUUUCGGCGGCUAUGGCCGGCGCGCAUCCUACCUCCAGCUUCCCCUCUCUCCGCUCCUUCCUCCCCUCCGGCUAGAUUCACCACUAGCGCUCUCCAGCAACCCAUCCCCGUGGCAAGGGUUUCGGCGCCAGCGCGGCUCCAGCCGAUCCUCUUCGUCGCCUGCCACCUGCUGGACGGUGCUCGUCGAAUAGGGCCAUGCGUGGCCGACCUCCCACAGUAUGUCCUGAUGGGCGCACCCUGCAGCGGCAUGUUCGGGAUGAGCGCGGGCCCGACGGCCUUGUCCCGCUCGACGAUGGCAGCGGCGAACGCCAGUGCUCCUCGUCCCUGAACCCGUCCACCCAUCCGGCGAUGUACAGCUUGUCGUCAUGCGCGUGUACGUGGUGGGCUUCCUCUCUCUCCCCCCUCUACCCCAAAUCUGAAUGGCACUUGCAUCUGUUACAUAUAUAAAUAUGAGUAAGCACCACGGUUUGGUAUGCGUCUAGAUCGGGAUGGUACCUGUAGUAAACGGUCGCUCCCCAUCUGUAUGCGUCCAUGAGUCUGCACACGGUAGCUACUUGGCUUUUAUUUUGAACAAAACCCCUCCCUAAUCUUCCUGUAGUCCAUGUCUGUGGUUGCUGUCAUGUACUCGAUGCCUUUCUUGUUUCAAAAUUCCAAUACCUGAAAGAGGCACAUCAUAUUUCUAGUCGUGGUCCUGUUUACAUGGCUUUUUCUGAUUUAGUUUCAGUCAAGUUUAUGUGAAAUAUAAUCUCCUUUUUCUGAUACUUUGGUCUGAAUAUUUACAUUUUGAUUACCAUAUACGUACUAGUGCAGUAUCCAGUUAUUUUGUUGAUGUUAUCUUCCAAAAUAAUAGUAAAUGCAGUCCUCAGAUAGAAGUAAAAGUAGCAUGUCUGCAAACAGAGUUGUACAUGCAAACUUGCUUACUACAAGUGUUGUAGAUGAUUGCUUGGAAUCAUAAAGAUCUCAAAUAAACAUACAAAAACAGAUUCUUAACACAAAUUAAUAUAGACUCAUCAAAUAUAUAUACUUUGUCCGUGGUCAACUUGUGAUGCCAAAUAAUGUUCAGUAUAAUAGCAACCUACAAACAACAGUUUACAGUUCUAUGAUCAUUUCCCCCUUACAGUUCUAAAUAUCAUGCGAACAUAUAUUGCUUUAUGCAAGAGAAAGAAUUGUGUGUACUUUAGAAAGCAAAAUGUUGAAGAAACAUAUAAAAAAGAUGUUGCAUCGCUGCUGUUUAGGUCACUUCUUUAUAGGUUAUAAUCUUUGAAAAUCCACAAAUUAUAUAGUUGGUUCAUAACUGCUAUUCAGGUCACUUAUUUAAAGGUUAAUACUUGCUUCAUCCAUUUAUGAAUGUGCAAGAAGGACUGUAAAACAGAGAAGGGGUUCAUUGUAGAACAGAGAAGGGGUUCAUCAUGCUGUUUGGGUUGGUUUGGGCUAGCUCCGGUGAUGGUGUUGUCGGCCUCAGCCACAAAUGUUGAAGGAAUUGCAUUACAUUGAAUUUGAUGGAGAGCAACUUCUCCGAGAGAACUGAAAGAAUGAGCUGUGAGGUGGAGCUAAGGGGCUUUAAGAAACUUUUAUGUGUUGUUGAUGUAAAGUGGAGUGUGGUAGUUCCUAACUUUGAUCUGUUUUGUAUUUUCUCAAUUGAUGUUGUAAAUUAUCAUUUCACUGAGGAUUUUGUAAAUUGAAGUAUUGUAUAUACGGGUGGAUGCUUGUAUAAAUGCUACAUGAUUUGUGUAUUAUAUGUCAUUUUGGAAA